rnacentral:rRNA from 1 species
GGCUGCCUACGGGACGCAGCAGUAGGGAAUCUUUCACAAUGGGCGAAAGCCUGAUGGAGCAACGCCGCGUGCAGGAUGAAGGCCUUCGGGUUGUAAACUGCUUUUAUAAGCGAGAAAUAUGAUGGUAACUUAUGAAUAAGGAUCGGCUAACUACGUGCCAGCAGCCGCGGUAAUACGGAGGAUCCAAGCGUUAUCCGGAUUUAUUGGGUUUAAAGGGUGCGUAGGCGGAUUGAUAAGUUAGAGGUGAAAUGUCCGAGCUUAACUCGGGAACUGCCUCUAAUACUGUUGAUCUAGAGAGUAGAUGG